UGCGGCUUAAUUUGACUCAACACGGGAAACCUCACCCGGCCCGGACACGGACAGGAUUGACAGAUUGAUAGCUCUUUCUCGAUUCCGUGGGUGGUGGUGCAUGGCCGUUCUUAGUUGGUGGAGCGAUUUGUCUGGUUAAUUCCGAUAACGAACGAGACUCUGGCAUGCUAACUAGUUACGCGACCCCCGAGCGGUCGGCGUCCCCCAACUUCUUAGAGGGACAAGUGGCGUUCAGCCACCCGAGAUUGAGCAAUAACAGGUCUGUGAUGCCCUUAGAUGUCCGGGGCUGCACGCGCGCUACACUGACUGGCUCAGCGUGUGCCUACCCUACGCCGGCAGGCGCGGGUAACCCGUUGAACCCCAUUCGUGAUGGGGAUCGGGGAUUGCAAUUAUUCCCCAUGAACGAGGAAUUCCCAGUAAGUGCGGGUCAUAAGCUUGCGUUGAUUAAGUCCCUGCCCUUUGUACACACCGCCCGUCGCUACUACCGAUUGGAUGGUUUAGUGAGGCCCUCGGAUCGGCCCCGCCGGGGUCGGCCCA
rnacentral:rRNA from 1 species